CUCUUCUGUGUAGAGUAAAGGUUGGAUCUUGUCCAAAGCAUGUGAUUAUAUUCAAGAGCUGCGUCAGAGCAAUGCACGACUGGAAGAGGAACUAAAUGCUGUGGCUAGACUAAGGAUGGACAAUCAGCUACUCAAACAAGAGAUGGAAGAGUGGAAAUCAAAGAAUCAGAUGAUCAGAACCCAGUUAAGACAGCACGAUAGUGGCAGCAUCAAUGGACUCUAAGUGAAGAACUGCAGAUCAACUAUAAGCUUCUCCUGCUGUGGUUUUGUCAUUGAUUCUGUUUAUCCGGGUUUAAAUUGACAUUUAAGAAGUCAUUCUUUCUGUGUACAAUCACACUUUUCUCUUUGUCUCCUUCACUGUUCACUUCACACACAUCCUUUGAUUGUUUCAGAUUAUUUCCAGAGAGAUCUGGUAUUUUAACUGCACUGAAAUGGUGUAUAAUUGUCAGAUCUGUAUAUUUGUAGAUCUGUGUCUAAAAAAUGAUUAUACUUUUUAGGACUGCUGUGAUGGUGUUUCAGAUGUGUUAUUUUUAUUUUUAACUGAAAUGUGUUUACAGCUUGGUAACCUUCAAAAUUGUAUUGUUUUAUGUCUUUUCAGUCAGAAGUUGUUGUUGAAACUAUUUGUUACACAAUGUCUUGACAAUCAAUUUGGGCCAAAACACCAGCUUUAAAGUUUGGUCAUUUAUAUAUUGCAAUUAUGAAAUGUACACAUCCCAGUAAAUAUACACAAUGUUUUUACAUAAUAUUGAACAAAUCUUUAUUGAACCUCAUAUAAAGGUUCAACUCAAUUUUAAUGACAAUUUAAAUGGAAACACUGGUAGGUUUGACUCAAAUCACAAGUACGCAGAUUUAGUGAAACUGAACAUAUAAAAAAUAAACCAUUACAAAUUAUUAAUAAAGAAACCAUUGUUGUAGUAAUUUGAACCUCGGAUUUUAUAUGUUGUUACAGCAGAUUCACAUAUACUAUUAACAAGUUUGGCUGGAGCAAACCAUACACGGAGCUCAUGUAUGUGAAGAAGUCUUGUAUACAGGUGCAUCUCAUUCAUUUAUUUCAGUAAUUCAACUCAAAUUGUGAAACUUGUGUAUUAAAUAAAUUCAAUGCACACA